rnacentral:rRNA from 1 species
UACGGAGGGUGCAAGCGUUGUCCGGAUUUAUUGGGUUUAAAGGGUGCGUAGGCGGUCCUGUAAGUCAGUGGUGAAAUACUGCAGCUUAACUGUAGCAUUGCCAUAGAUACUGCAGGACUUGAGUACAGAUGAGGUAGGCGGAAUUGAUGGUGUAGCGGUGAAAUGCAUAGAUACCAUCAAGAACACCGAUUGCGAAGGCAGCUUACUAAGCUGUAACUGACGCUGAGGCACGAAAGUGUGGGGAUCGAACAGG